rnacentral:lncRNA from 1 species
AUUUAGGCCCUCACACAACCUAAUCAAGGGUUGUACCACUGAGCUACAUCCCCAGCUCCUGUGUUAGCUCUUUUGGUAUUAUAAGCUUACUACCUGGCUGCCUUGAGCUUAUAUAACUUAAAUUAGUUCUACACUUGAUCUUAGCCAAAAGGCCGAGAAGCAAUAGCCUAAAUUAGUUCUGAAACCACUUGUUUGCUCCUGGGUUUACUGACAAAGCUGUUAACCAGUGGGAAGUAUGACAGAUAGGCGUUUCCCAAAGUGCUCCUGCAGGAAUCCAGCUUGCAUGACUUGGGGAAGUCAGGGAAUACUUCCUGAAGAAGGCUGUUGUUGAACUAAGUAUUGAGGAAAAAUUUAAUGAAGAUAGCUCCACAGAAAGGGGAGAGUACACUUAAAGAGGACCAUGACGUGUACAGAGAUGAAAGGAAACGACUUAGAGGCCUUAUGAAUACAUCCGUGCAUUCUUGCUUCAGACUUUACAAUUGAAGGCCAACCCAGUCUGGAAGCAACUCUUGUUACUGUUAUAAGGAAACCGCUACCUCAGCAAACAAAAGGAAAGGAAGACUUGUAAUAACGAAUGCCAUUUUUAAAGAAAACUUGUUUUCAGAAAACAGUACAGGAAAUUUGGAAAUUUUUAGUCUUGAGGAGAAGCUUUACAGGCAAAUGAUUUGACAGGCAGGCUCUGUCAAAAUAAUGCAGAGAUUUGAUCUCCCUUCUUAAGGACUUUGUGCGGAAUAACCCUGUAUUGCUUUUUAAGUUGCUGUUGAUCAGCUUGUGGGUUUUUGAGUUCUAACUUUUUUGAUGUAUUAAAGAUACAUCCUAUUACCUUUUUAAAAGUUAUUUUUCUGCCAUUGUAAAUACAAGUAUCAAAAUAUUCUUGCAGAGCAAUUAUAAGUAAACAUUUUUGUCAACAAGCAUAUCUUUUUAUUAAGAGAGUGGAAUGCUAAAUAAUUAUACAGCAUUUUGGACACACUUUCAUUUUUUGU